UGUAAUCCAUGGACAUGGGGCAGCGGUUCAUCGCCAGAUAUCAUCGAUCACUGCGUGGGGAUGAGGGGCGACGGCGGCGGCUGGACGGACUGUGCGAGCCAGUCGGACUCCGGCAGCGGCGUCAUGGGCGGCAGCGAGAAGUGGCCGACGGUGGAGCUGCCGCUGCGGACUUCCUGCAUGGUGAGCAGCGCGGCGACGGUGUUGCGGAAGAUGCUCUGCUCGGCGGCGGCGAGCGCCUGGCGCUCCUCGAGGUCCCUGCUUGCGGCGGAGACGGCGGAGGGCGGGAAGACGGCCUCCAUCAUGGCCUCGCAGUCCCUGACGAGCUCGGAGAUGAGGUCGGUGGUGAAGAAGGGCUGCUGCAGCACCCCCGCGAUGACGGGGAGCCGGAGCACGCCGCCGGUGCGCUUGUCGAACUUCUUGAGGAUCUUGGCGAGCCCCGUGUAGUUGAUGCUGCUGUAGUUGAGGAGCAGCACCAUCUCGCCGUGGAAGUCGACGACCUCCCGCUGGAUGCGCGCCAUCUCGGCCUCCGCCGCCGGCGAAGGCUUGGCCUCGGCGGCGCGCUGGAUCCUCUC
rnacentral:lncRNA from 1 species